ACAAAAAAAUAUUAAAUGAUUUUAGUUUUUUAGUUUUUAAUAUUUAAUUAAACUUUUUAAGCCAGUCACUAUUUAAAGUAAUAAUUGACAAAUCAACUGACAAAAUAUAUGAAAUUGGAACAAAUUCGUAAAUGAGGUAUAAUAUUAACAUUUUUUAAAGAUGAAGUAUGAAACUCUGGUUGUCUCAAUAUUUGAGGUAGUUUUAUAGAAUUUACCCUUGUUUAAUUGUUGUUAAUUUUACAGUUUAAUUGGUUCCCUAAAUGGGGGCAAGGCUAUGGCAGUAGGUCUCGGGUUCGAGACUUGGGAGCAGCCCUCUCCAUAAAUGGGGUAAGGCUAGCUGACAUUCACCUCUCCCAGACCCUGCGUAAAGCGGGAGCCUUGUGCACUGAGUACGACCUUUUUUAAUUGUUUCCCUAAUCUGGAUUGCUUAGUGCUAAAGGAGACAUGGAUUUUAUUUUUUGCUGGACUUUAUAUGUAUUCAGAUUGGGAACACAAUCUUUGUUGAAUUCUAAGUUUUUAUCCACUUUUGCUUUUUUUUCGCCUUCAAUGGUUUCAAUUAAUUGUUGUUUUAGUAUAACUAUUGCCUAUAUGUUUCGGAUGAGGUAUUUCUCUUACCUUUUCUUUCUUCUUUACCGAUACCGAAGCCGUUCCGCUCGUCCCUCUUUCGAGGAGGGACUUCGCUUCACUCUCCUUGAAGAAACCAAGUUUGCGGUUACGUAUAUGAUAACCUAGAAGCAUCAGCUUCUGAGGGUGUCAUUCAUUGCAUGUGGUAAGUACUACGUGUUUUACGGACCUAUGCUUUCUGUGCCAAUCUUUUAUUGUUGUUGUUGGUGUAAGUAUUUAUGUUAAGUACUAGCAAACAUAGUGUUAUUGCAAAUUGUUCUAUUUGAUAGAAAUAUAGACAUCCAGGAUGGAAGGGUCACGUAUUUGGACCUUAUUCUUGGAAGAUGAUUGCAUUAUUAAAUAAACUGCAUAUAAUUUGGGUUGGGUUGGGUUGGGUGAGAAGAUAUGGCUACAAGAGGAAUUAAAUAUGUGGAUUGCUAUCGAGUUGACAAUGCACUAAUGAGAUUCCUUCCUUUCUGAAUGGCGUGUGUAGUCUGCAAGGAGGGGAAAAAGAAGGGGAGAAAUUCCUUCUCUUCCAUUAUUUGGUUGGUCAAGGAAGAAAAUACUCAUCUUUAUCUCCUGAGUCCUGCCUAAAUUAACUGGAGUCUGAAAUGUUCUUUUUUAGAAAGAGUAGGAAGUUUUUCUUAUUUAGAAUUUUAAUGAUUAGGUUGUUGAAAACAAGCCAGUCCAAAUAUGUGAUGGUUUACGCGUAUUAGGUGGGAAGUUCAGAGUAGAUCAACAAAAAUUACACUUUGUGAUUUUGAUUACAGCCUUCAAGGAAACAUCAAUUAAAUAACCACUCUAGAGGUGAAUCUGGACAAUCUAAGAAGUCACAGUCAUCUAAGAACAUUGAUAGUGAUGGUGAUGGUGAUGAGGAUUGGUCACGGAUUUCUUAGUUGCUGUCGAGAAUAGCUACUUUCAGAAGCAAAUUGAUAGACAAAUGGCAGAGGAAGACGGAGGUGACCACAGGCACUGCUGAUAUUAAAAGCAAGCCGCAUGCUUUUUAAUCAGAAUAUUAGUGAACAAGUUGCUUCUUAUAUAAAAGACCCAAGCAAAAUGGUUGGGCAGAUGCAGAUGUGGACAUUAGCAGUUGCUGUAUUUGGCACUGUGACACAAUAUGAUGCUGUUGCACAAGCUGAUGGUGGCCCUGAACUUUUGGAUGACUCUUGAGUUAUACCAGACAUUACUGAAAGAAUUUUUUGAGACAAUUGACCCAGCAUCUUCUGGGGCUUUUAUAUCUCAAGCGGUUAAGCACUUAGCUCUGAACCCGAAGUUUUGAAGGCAGAAAACAUCUUGAAAACAAGGAGGGAAUCCAAAGAUGUCUGUAUCAAGUAAAAUUACAAACUCAUGGAUGGCUUGUGGACUAUUGUCGCUUCUUUUUCUGGGAGAUGGAGGACCGAACUACUAGGGCAAGCGUGAAAAAUAAGCCAGCAGCUGUGAGGAGCACUUUCCAGCCUCCAAGGCCGCAAUUGUUACUGGCAUCCCUCGUCCUUCCAAUUGUGUAAUCAAGUUCAUCCUCUUGCCCUUCUUCUUUGUCUGAAAAACAUACAAAUAACAUAAAAUUUAUGUUUUUGAAUUGAAUACAUACGGACUUGGAAAUGUUUGGAUGGAGUAUAAUUCAUUGCAAUACAACGACAUAGCAUACCUGUGUCUUCUUCAUCAGUGUCCAUGAUGAGGCGAUUUAAAAGUCUCCGCGGAAAGAUAUUAGUGUUUUCAACAUCUUCUUUAGUGUAACCAAGGAAGUAUAUUCCUGGUAUAUGCUCGCGCAUGGACAAAUCUCCACCGAUGACAAAUGGGUAAUUAGGAUCUGAUUUGGUGUUGUGUUGGGUACUUAUCAUCAUAUUAUUCUGGUGUUCUUGCACAAGCUCGACACCAAACUCCUU